GACGAACGCUGGCGGCGUGCUUAACACAUGCAAGUCGAACGGAAAGGCCCUGCUUGCAGGGUGCUCGAGUGGCGAACGGGUGAGUAACACGUGGGUGAUCUGCCCCUUACUUUGGGAUAAGCCUGGGAAACUGGGUCUAAUACUGGAUAGGACCAUGCUGUAGGUGGUGUGGUGGAAAGAUUAGUUUCGGUAAGGGAUGAGCUCGGGGCCUAUCAGCUUGUUGGUGGGGUAAUGGCCUACCAAGGCGUCGACGGGUAGCCGGCCGGAGAGGGUGGGCGGCAACGUUGAGACUGAGAUGCGGCCCAGAAUCCUACGGGAGGCAGCAGAGGGGGAGAGUGCACAAUGGGCGCAAGGCUGAUGCAGCGACGCCGCGUGGGGGGUGACGGCCUUCGGGUUGUAAACUCCUUUCAGCCAUGACGAAGCCCUUGUGGUGACGGUAGUGGUAGAAGAAGCACCGGCUAACUACGUG
rnacentral:rRNA from 1 species